rnacentral:miRNA from 1 species
AAAGCUGGGUUGAGAAGG